rnacentral:rRNA from 1 species
GAUGAACGCUGGCGGCGUGCCUAACACAUGCAAGUCGAGCGAACGGACGAGAAGUUUGCUUCUCUGAUGUUAGCGGCGGACGGGUGAGUAACACGUGUAUACCCUACCUAUAAGACUGGGAUAACUUCGGGAAACCGGAGCUAACACCGGAUAAUAUUUUGAACCGCAUGGUUCAAAAGUGAAAGACGGUCUUGCUGUCACUUAUAGAUGGAUCCGCGUUGCAUUAGCUAGUUGGUAAGGUAACGGCUUACCAAGGCAACGAUGCAUAGCCGACCUGAGAGGGUGAUCGGCCACACUGGAACUGAGACACGGUCCAGACUCCUACGGGAGGCAGCAGUAGGGAAUCUUCCGCAAUGGGCGAAAGCCUGACGGAGCAACGCCGCGUGAGUGAUGAAGGUCUUCGGAUCGUAAAGCUCUGUUAUUAGGGAAGAACAGAUGUGUAAGUAACUGUGCACAUCUUGACGGUACCUAAUCAGAAAGCAACGGCUAACUACGUG